UACAGAGGGGGCAAGCGUUGUUCGGAAUUACUGGGCGUAAAGGGCGCGUAGGCGGCCCGCUAAGUCGAACGUGAAAUCCCCGAGCUCAACUCGGGAACUGCGUCCGAUACUGGCGGGCUUGAAUCCGGGAGAGGGAUGCGGAAUUCCAGGUGUAGCGGUGAAAUGCGUAGAGAUCCGGAGGAACACCAGGGGCGAAAGCGGUCGACUGGUCGAGUUCUGACACUGAGGCGCGACGGCGUGGGGAGCAAACCGG
rnacentral:rRNA from 1 species